rnacentral:rRNA from 1 species
CACGUAGGGUGCGAGCGUUGUCCGGAAUUAUUGGGCGUAAAGAGCUCGUAGGCGGUGUGUCGCGUCGGCCGUGAAAACCUGCAGCUUAACUGUGGGCUUGCGGUCGAUACGGGCAUCACUGGAGUUCGGUAGGGGAGACCGGAAUUCCUGGUGUAGCGGUGAAAUGCGCAGAUAUCAGGAGGAACACCGGUGGCGAAGGCGGGUCUCUGGGCCGAUACUGACGCUGAGGAGCGAAAGCGUGGGGAGCGAACAGG